ensembl:snRNA U5 U5 spliceosomal RNA
AUGCUCUGGUUUCUCUUCAGAUCGUAUAAAUCUUUCGCCUUUUACUAAAGAUUUCCGUGGAGAGGAACGAGUACGAGUGUCAAGAAAUUUUUUGAGGCUCCAUUUUGAUGGAGCU